ACUCCUGCGGGAGGCAGCAGUGGGGAAUCUUGCGCAAUGGGCGAAAGCCUGACGCAGCCAUGCCGCGUGAAUGAUGAAGGUCUUAGGAUUGUAAAAUUCUUUCACCGGGGACGAUAAUGACGGUACCCGGAGAAGAAGCCCCGGCUAACUUCGUGCCAGCAGCCGCGGUAAUACGAAGGGGGCUAGCGUUGCUCGGAAUUACUGGGCGUAAAGGGAGCGUAGGCGGACAUUUAAGUCAGGGGUGAAAUCCCGGGGCUCAACCUCGGAAUUGCCUUUGAUACUGGGUGUCUUGAGUAUGAGAGAGGUGUGUGGAACUCCGAGUGUAGAGGUGAAAUUCGUAGAUAUUCGGAAGAACACCAGUGGCGAAGGCGACACACUGGCUCAUUACUGACGCUGAGGCUCGAAAGCGUGGGGAGCAAACAGGAUUAGAAACCCUAGUAGUCCCA
rnacentral:rRNA from 1 species